AUCAACUUUCGAUGGUAGGAUAGAGGCCUACCAUGGUGGUAACGGGUAACGGGGAAUUAGGGUUCGAUUCCGGAGAGGGAGCCUGAGAAACGGCUACCACUUCCAAGGAAGGCAGCAGGCGCGCAAAUUACCCAAUCCCGACACGGGGAGGUAGUGACAAUAAAUAACAAUACAGGGCCUUUACAGGUCUUGUAAUUGGAAUGAGUACAAUUUAAAUCUCUUAACGAGGAACAAUUGGAGGGCAAGUCUAGUGCCAGCAGCCGCGGUAAUUCCAGCUCCAAUAGCGUAUAUUAAAGUUGUUGCAGUUAAAAAGCUCGUAGUUGAAUUUUGGAUUCUGCCUAUCGGUCCGUCUUUUAGGCGAGCACUGGUGGUGUAGGGUCUAUCUGCCUGAUGAUACGUAAUGUCCUUUAUUGGGUGUUGCGGGUAGUCAGGACCUUUACCUUGAAAAAAUUAGAGUGUUUAAAGCAGGCUUACGCUUGAAUACAUUAGCAUGGAAUAAUGAAAUAGGACGUUUGAUUCUAUUUUGUUGGUUUCUAGGAUCGACGUAAUGAUUAAUAGGGAUAGUUGGGGGCAUUAGUAUUCAAUUGUCAGAGGUGAAAUUCUUGGAUUUAUUGAAGACUAACUACUGCGAAAGCAUUUGCCAAGGAUGUUUUCAUUAAUCAAGAACGAAAGUUAGGGGAUCGAAGACGAUCAGAUACCGUCGUAGUCUUAACCAUAAACUAUGCCGACUAGGGAUCGGGCGAUGUUGUUUCAAUGACUCGCUCGGCACCUUAUGGGAAACCAAAGUGUUUGGGUUC
rnacentral:rRNA from 1 species